rnacentral:ncRNA from 1 species
CACACUGGGACUGAGACACGGCCCAGACUCCUACGGGAGGCAGCAGUGGGGAAUUUUCCGCAAUGGGCGAAAGCCUGACGGAGCAAUGCCGCGUGGAGGUGGAAGGCCUACGGGUCGUCAACUUCUUUUCUCGGAGAAGAAACAAUGACGGCAUCUGAGGAAUAAGCAUCGGCUAACUCUGUGCCAGCAGCCGCGGUAAGACAGAGGAUGCAAGCGUUAUCCGGAAUGAUUGGGCGUAAAGCGUCUGUAGGUGGCUUUUCAAGUCCGCCGUCAAAUCCCAGGGCUCA